AUGCAACCCAAUGCUGUAACGUGGGGCAUCUUCCCCGGCAGAGAGAUCAUUCAGCCAACGGUUGUAGACCCGGUUAGCUUCAUGUACUGGAAAGUGGGCCAAGCUGUACGAAGAGGAGUCCCCCUCUCGCAUGAUCCUCCAGUACAUGCACGACAACUAUUACCUGGUCAACUUGGUGGACAACGACUUCCCCCUGGACAGCUGCCUCUGGCAGGUCUUGGAAGACAUGCACACGCUCUUGAACUGUCCGGCGGAACCUUGAAAGUUGAGAAAAGGCACGCAGCCUCCCAGAUUUGGCUGGCAGCAUAGUCAAAAACCUUAGGGAUGCGAGGUUGGAACCACAGUGGCCCAGACACUCCUCUAGGGGGCGCCGUUGGCUGAAUUUCCCCCCAUUGCCUUCAAGCGGGAGGCCGGUUAAGACAGGCACAUCUCCCUUCUGAUCCAAAAGACUCUGAGGAUGUUUUCGAGCCCUUCUUGGGUUAUUACAAUCCCUUUUCCCCUUAUACUAAUGGCAGCUAGAAAUCCUUAUCCCCACCCCAACCCCAAAUCUCUGUCUGGCCCACCCCCCAUGUUUCUGGGUUGCACUCUAAAAAAGAAAGCUUUCAGCUGCUGCUUCAGUGCGCACCCUCUGAUCAAUGGGACUGAUGGCUUCACAAGCCUCUAGUUCAGAACGGGAGUUGCAGAAAAUCAGGAUGAGCACAGCCGCCUGCGACGCACCUGCCCUCCUCUGGGGAGCCACAGUGUGUGGCCGGCUAUUUAUUUUGUUUUUAUUUUAUUAUAAAGGCGCAGGAUCGUGGUCUUCUUCCUGCGUCUUCUCGUUUUCUCUUGCAGGGGAGGGGGAAGUAUUUAAAAUGCUUGUAAAGGGAAGGAGAGAAGUGAAAUUGAAAUGAAAUAAAAUGUAGUUGAUGCCUACGUUGACUUGCCUUUUAAAAAAGAACGAGAGGAAGAGCUUGGGACUUACUAGGGACUCACGUUGUAGCAGUGUGGCUGGGGGCACAGCAUGGUGAAUGCAGGGAGUUAUGGUAACGUGGUCCCCCCAAAAAAUCACCCAUGGCUGGUGUCCAUUGGGACUUGUGGGGCAGAAACACAUGGGCGCCGGGCGCCAUUUUGCAACAAGAUGGUGGACAGAAGAAUCACUUUUGCAUGGCUUAGGCCUGUUCGGGGGCACAGGUUCAGCGGCAUCUUGAGAUAAUACAAGAGUUCCUGAGGAUUGACGUCAAUGUUUGGGUGCCUUUUUGAACCAACAUGCCAGAUGAAGCGUGACUUCAGCACGACUUUGCCUGAUUUUUGGGGUGGCUGGUCCAAACUCACAAAUGAUGCUAUCCAUUUAUAAACACAUCUCUUUUUGUUUGUUUUUUAAAAAUUCCAAGCACUUCGUGCUAGUCUGUAAUAAUCCGUUUUGAGGCUUAGGGUAUAUAAACUUCAUGAAAUAUAAAUAAAAUAAGA
rnacentral:lncRNA from 1 species